rnacentral:rRNA from 1 species
UACGUAGGGUGCAAGCGUUAAUCGGAAUUACUGGGCGUAAAGCGUGCGCAGGCGGUUAUGCAAGACAGAGGUGAAAUCCCCGGGCUCAACCUGGGAACUGCCUUUGUGACUGCAUAGCUAGAGUACGGUAGAGGGGGGAUGGAAUUCCGCGUGUAGCAGUGAAAUGCGUAGAUAUGCGGAGGAACACCGAUGGCGAAGGCAAUCCCCCUGGACCUGUACUGACGCUCAUGCACGAAAGCGUGGGGAGCAAACAGGG